rnacentral:sRNA from 1 species
AAGACUGUUGCUGGUCAGAGGGGUUUUUAUCCCCCUUGGCAUGUGCACGUCUUGCAAGCUUUCUCUGUCGACCUUUUCUCUCUCAUAUACACACACCUGUGCACUUGUUGUAGGCUCUCGAAAAGAGAGUCUAUGUUUUUUCUUGCAUUACACUCUAUCGUAUGUCUAUAGAAUGUAUAUUGAAAUCGUCGACCCCGACGGUCUUAUAAAUCAUACAACUUUCAGCAACGGAUCUCUUGGCUCUCGCAUCGAUGAAGAACGCAGCGAAUUGCGAUAAGUAAUGUGAAUUGCAGAUUUUCAGUGAAUCAUCGAAUCUUUGAACGCACCUUGCGCUCCUUGGUAUUCCGAGGAGCAUGCCUGUUUGAGUGUCAUCGAAUUCUCAACCAUGUCUUGAUUGAUUUCAAGACACUGGCUUGGAGUUUGGGGGAUUGCUGGCAGCAGAGUCAGCUCUCCUGAAAUGUAUUAGCAAAAGGGCUGCAAGUCUUUUUCAAUAUACAAAAUGGCCUUCGACGUGAUAAUGAUCGUCGUGGUGUGGUAUUGUUGGAAAGGACAUGCAUGAAAUGGGAGUCCCUAUGCUUCUAAUUCCUUCUGGUGCUUGAAGUCAACUACCAUUAACUCAGCUUAUUAGUCGGUCGUGAGGCUGGCGAAAGGUAUUGAGAUUCUAAGGAGCUUCACUUUGGGCCAGUCUGAUUCGAAACUUGACCUSUAAU